rnacentral:rRNA from 1 species
GACGAACGCUGGCGGCGUGCUUAACACAUGCAAGUCGAACGGAAAGGCCCCCUUGUGGGGUACUCGAGUGGCGAACGGGUGAGUAACACGUGAGUAACCUACCCUUGACUUUGGGAUAACUUCAGGAAACUGGGGCUAAUACCGGAUAGGAGCUCCUGCUGCAUGGUGGGGGUUGGAAAGUUUGGGCGGUCGGGGAUGGACUCGCGGCUUAUCAGCUUGUUGGUGGGGUAGUGGCUCACCAAGGCGUUGACGGGUAGCCGGCCUGAGAGGGUGACCGGCCACAUUGGGACUGAGAGACGGCCCAGACUCCUACGGGAGGCAGCAGUGGGGAAUAUUGCACAAUGGGCGGAAGCCUGAUGCAGCAACGCCGCGUGCGGGAUGACGGCCUUCGGGUUGUAAACCGCUUUCGCCUGUGACGAAGCGUGAGUGACGGUAAUGGGUAAAGAAGCACCGGCUAACUACGUG